UACGUAGGGGGCAAGCGUUGUCCGGAUUUAUUGGGCGUAAAGAGCGUGUAGGCGGCCAGGUAGGUCGGUUGUGAAAACUGGAGGCUCAACCUCCAGACGUCGACCGAAACCAUCUGGCUAGAGUCCGGAAGAGGAGAGUGGAAUUCCUGGUGUAGCGGUGAAAUGCGCAGAUAUCAGGAAGAACACCCGUGGCGAAAGCGGCUCUCUGGGACGGUACUGACGCUGAGACGCGAAAGCGUGGG
rnacentral:rRNA from 1 species